rnacentral:rRNA from 1 species
UUCGCCCUUAGAGUUUGAUCCUGGCUCAGGAUGAACGCUGGCGGCGUGCUUAACACAUGCAAGUCGAACGGACCCAUUCGAACGGAGAUUCGUCAAAGUUUGAUGAAGGUUAGUGGCGGACGGGUGAGUAACGCGUGGGUAACCUACCUUAUAGAGAGGGAUAACGAUUGGAAACGGUCGCUAAUACCUCAUAAGCCCACAGUACCGCAUGGUACAGGGGGAAAAGGAUUUAUCGCUAUAAGAUGGACCCGCGUUUGAUUAGCCAGUUGGCGGUGUAACGGACCACCAAAGCAACGAUCAAUAGCCGGACUGAGAGGUCGAACGGCCACAUUGGGACUGAGACACGGCCCAAACCCCUACGGGAGGCAGCAGUGGGGAAUAUUGCACAAUGGGGGAAACCCUGAUGCAGCGACGCCGCGUGAGUGAAGAAGUUUUUCGGAAUGUAAAGCUCUAUCAGCAGGGAAGCAAAUGACGGUACCUGACUAAGAAGAAAGCUCCGGCUAACUACGUGCCAGCAGCCGCGGUAAUACGUAGGGAGCGAGCGUUGUCCGGAUUUACUGGGUGUAAAGGGUGCGUAGGCGGCCCCGCAAGUCAGACGUGAAAGCCCCGGGCUCAACCCGGGAACUGCGUUUGAAACUGUGGGGCUUGAGUGAAGUAGAGGUAGGCGGAAUUCCCGGUGUAGCGGUGAAAUGCGUAGAGAUCGGGAGGAACACCAGUGGCGAAGGCGGCCUACUGGGCUUUAACUGACGCUGAGGCACGAAAGCGUGGGUAGCAAACAGGAUUAGAUACCCUGGUAGUCCAUGCUGUAAACGAUGAUUACUAGGUGUGGGGGGUCUGACCCCCUCCGUGCCGGAGUUAACACAAUAAGUAAUCCACCUGGGGAGUACGGCCGCAAGGCUGAAACUCAAAGGAAUUGACGGGGGCCCGCACAAGCAGUGGAGUAUGUGGUUUAAUUCGAAGCAACGCGAAGAACCUUACCAGGUCUUGACAUCCAACUAACGAAGUAGAGAUACAUUAGGUGCCUUUCGGGGAAAGUUGAGACAGGUGGUGCAUGGUUGUCGUCAGCUCGUGUCGUGAGAUGUUGGGUUAAGUCCCGCAACGAGCGCAACCCUUGUCAUUAGUUGCUACGCAAGAGCACUCUAGUGAGACUGCCGUUGACAAAACGGAGGAAGGUGGGGACGACGUCAAAUCAUCAUGCCCCUUAUGACCUGGGCUACACACGUAAUACAAUGGCCGUCAACAACGGGAAGCAAUACCGCGAGAUGGAGCAAAUCCCCAAAAACGGUCUCAGUUCGGAUUGCAGGCUGCAACUCGCCUGCAUGAAGUUGGAAUUGCUAGUAAUCGUGGAUCAGCAUGCCGCGGUGAAUACGUUCCCGGGCCUUGCACUCACCGCCCGUCA